rnacentral:rRNA from 1 species
GCGGCGUGCUUAACACAUGCAAGUCGAACGGAAAGGCCCUGCUUUUGUGGGGUGCUCGAGUGGCGAACGGGUGAGUAACACGUGAGUAACCUGCCCUUGACUUUGGGAUAACUUCAGGAAACUGGGGCUAAUACCGGAUAGGAGCUCCUGCUGCAUGGUGGGGGUUGGAAAGUUUCGGCGGUUGGGGAUGGACUCGCGGCUUAUCAGCUUGUUGGUGGGGUAGUGGCUUACCAAGGCUUUGACGGGUAGCCGGCCUGAGAGGGUGACCGGCCACAUUGGGACUGAGAUACGGCCCAGACUCCUACGGGAGGCAGCAGUGGGGAAUAUUGCACAAUGGGCGGAAGCCUGAUGCAGCAACGCCGCGUGCGGGAUGACGGCCUUCGGGUUGUAAACCGCUUUCGCCUGUGACGAAGCGUGAGUGACGGUAAUGGGUAAAGAAGCACCGGCUAACUACGUGCCAGCAGCCGCGGUGAUACGUAGGGUGCGAGCGUUGUCCGGAUUUAUUGGGCGUAAAGGGCUCGUAGGUGGUUGAUCGCGUCGGAAGUGUAAUCUUGGGGCUUAACCCUGAGCGUGCUUUCGAUACGGGUUGACUUGAGGAAGGUAGGGGGAGAAUGGAAUUCCUGGUGGAGCGGUGGAAUGCGCAGAUAUCAGGAGGAACACCAGUGGCGAAGGCGGUUCUCUGGGCCUUUCCUGACCCUGAGGAGCGAAAGCGUGGGGAGCGAACAGGCUUAGAUACCCUGGUAGUCCACGCUGUAAACGGUGGGUACUAGGUGUGGGGUCCAUUCCACGGGUUCCGUGCCGUAGCUAACGCUUUAAGUACCCCGCCUGGGGAGUACGGCCGCAAGGCUAAAACUCAAAGGAAUUGACGGGGCCCCGCACAAGCGGCGGAGCAUGCGGAUUAAUUCGAUGCAACGCGUAGAACCUUACCUGGGUUUGACAUGGAUCGGGAGUGCUCAGAGAUGGGUGUGCCUCUUUUGGGGUCGGUUCACAGGUGGUGCAUGGCUGUCGUCAGCUCGUGUCGUGAGAUGUUGGGUUAAGUCCCGCAACGAGCGCAACCCUUGUUCACUGUUGCCAGCACGUUAUGGUGGGGACUCAGUGGAGACCGCCGGGGUCAACUCGGAGGAAGGUGGGGAUGACGUCAAGUCAUCAUGCCCCUUAUGUCCAGGGCUUCACGCAUGCUACAAUGGCUGGUACAGAGAGUGGCGAGCCUGUGAGGGUGAGCGAAUCUCGGAAAGCCGGUCUCAGUUCGGAUUGGGGUCUGCAACUCGACCUCAUGAAGUCGGAGUCGCUAGUAAUCGCAGAUCAGCAACGCUGCGGUGAAUACGUUCCCGGGGCUUGUACACACCGCCCGUCAAGUCAUGAAAGUUGGUAACACCCGAAGCCGGUGGCCUAACCGUUGUGGGGGAGCCGUCGAAGGUGGGACUGGUGAUUAGGACUAAGA